AUAAGUCAAUUGCAAAAAAACCUGACAUACAAUGAAAAAUACCACUAUAAUAACACUCACUUACAGGAGUAUGUUAAUAAUGUUUAUAAUAGAAUAAAUAGGUUUUCUUAAUUUGUAUUUUUUUUCCUAAGAAACAGAGAUCACCAUAUUAAUGUAUCACAUAUUUUUGCAACACAGUAAUAAGUGGGUUUCUUUUGUUACACGGUGAAAGAAUUCAGUGCUUCUAAGUACAUCAUCAUCACUUCGAUACACACCAAUUAAAUAUAGGGUACAACUACACCACAGACACAUUAUUACUAAGUAUUUCCAAAAGACAUUACAAAUAAGCAAAUUUUACAGCUUAUCUUUUAAAACUAAGUUAAGUUUUUCAAGGCUUAAGUUCUUUAUGCUUUCUCACCUAAAUUUAAAAAGAUGCAGUGCAACACAGAGCAAGCAGGUACCUCUGGACAAGAUCGAGCAGACAUGACAAAUGCUUCUGACUUCUUUUUAAAUCGAACCUGGAAGGUCAUCGCUGAACAAACAGAAUGCUAUGCAACUGGGGCCAUAAAUUGAGAAAGCUAACAAAAAGGUAACACGCAAACAAGUCAAAAAAACCUUUCUAUCUCUUCAAACAAAGGAAAGCACCCAUGUCCUGAAAACCGAGUGUUUACAUGUGCCAGUGGAAGUUUUCUGCGUACAUCCUGUCUACUGAUGUUGGGAAAGCCACAAAUGUGAGAAAAACUAUAUUUUCCAUUCUACUCUGAAGCUUCCCAGUGCUAUCAAUAUCUAAUUUUAAGUACGUAUCUUCUGUUUAAUUUAAUGAAUAAUAAAGAAGAUAAAGUUUUUCUGAGUCAUACACAGAUUUUGUUGAUCUCUGUCACACAAUACUUCCUAUUUUGGGUCAUAGCACAAGCCAACAGUUUGUUAGCAAGUCAUACCAAAUACAACUGGUUACAAGCUCUUUAAGGCUUGUUCACUGACACUGAAGUGAAAAAAGAAAUCGCCCACUGGUUCAGCCUAUCAAAGCUGUAAUACAGAUUUUCUACCAAGGGUUCGAAUAACAAGAACAUCUUUCCAAAGGGAAUAGUAUCAGUUGUUCCCAUAAUUACUUUGCACAGUUAAUUUUUAUUUCAUUUUAGGGUUAUUUAAAAUAUACUACAUUUUAUUGCAGGUCACUUCUUGAAACUUUUACAUUGCUAAUUCUCUUUUCAAUUAAUGAGCCAAGACCUCAUUCUCACCUCUCAUUAUCAAUCUGUUUACCUGUGAGGUUUACUGCAGCUUCAAGUACAUAACUAAUUUAAAAUUUU